GGCAUGGUUGUCGUCAGCUCGUGUCGUGAGAUGUUGGGUUAAGUCCCGCAACGAGCGCAACCCCUACGUUUAGUUGCUAACGCGUGAAGGCGAGCACUCUAGACGAACUGCCGUUGACAAACGGAGGAAGGUGGGGAUGACGUCAAAUCAUCAUGCCCCUUAUGUUCUGGGCUACACACGUGCUACAAUGGCGUAUACAAAGGGAUGCGAAAGGGCGACCUGGAGCAAAACUCACAAAGUACGUCUCAGUUCAGAUUGGAGUCUGCAACUCGACUCCAUGAAGGCGGAAUCGCUAGUAAUCGCGGAUCAGCAUGCCGCGGUGAAUACGUUCUCGGGGUUU
rnacentral:rRNA from 1 species